rnacentral:rRNA from 1 species
CCCUUAGAUGUUCUGGACUGCACGCGUGCUACACUGAUAUUGCCAAUAUGUCAUUCUUAUCCGAAAUGGAUUGGGUAAUCAAGUAAUGAAAUUUCAUGCUUGGAAUCGGUAAUUGCAAUUUUAUCGUGAACGAGGAAUUCCUAGUAAGCACUAGUCAUCAGCUAAUGUUGAUUAUGUCCCUGCCCUUUGUACACACCGCCCGUCGCUACUACUGAUUGGGUGUUCAAGUGAGAUGCUUAGACCCUUGUUGCAUGGUUCAUUAUUGUGCUCCGAAAGGAAAAAGUUUCAAGCUUGAGUGUCUAGAGGAAGUAAAAGUCGUAACA